rnacentral:rRNA from 1 species
UGGGGAAUCUUGCACAAUGGGGGAAACCCUGAUGCAGCGACGCCGCGUGAGCGAAGAAGCCUUUCGGGGUGUAAAGCUCUUACGCCAGGGACGAUAAUGACGGUACCUGGAGAAGCAGCUGCGGCUAACUACGUGCCAGCAGCCGCGGUAAUACGUAGGCAGCAAGCGUUGUUCGGAAUUACUGGGCGUAAAGGGUGCGUAGGCGGCGCCUUAAGUUUGGUGUGAAAUCUCCCGGCUCAACCGGGAGGGUGCACUGAAAACUGGGGCGCUCGAGUGUGGGAGAGGAAAGCGGAAUUCCUGGUGUAGCGGUGAAAUGCGUAGAGAUCAGGAGGAACACCCGCGGUGUAGACGGCUUUCUGGACCAUGACUGACGCUGAGGCACGAAAGCGUGGGGAGCAAACA